rnacentral:tRNA from 1 species
AGAGAAAGAAGAUAUCUGAGAAAAGCUGCUAACUAUUUCUCAAAGCGGUUUAAUUCCGUUUUUCUCUU